rnacentral:rRNA from 1 species
CCAAGGCGACGAUCAGUAGCCGACCUGAGAGGGCGAUCGGCCACAUUGGAACUGAGACACGGUCCAAACUCCUACGGGAGGCAGCAGUGGGGAAUAUUGCACAAUGGGCGAAAGCCUGAUGCAGCAACGCCGCGUGAGCGAUGAAGGCCUUCGGGUCGUAAAGCUCUGUCCUCAAGGAAGAUAAUGACGGUACUUGAGGAGGAAGCCCCGGCUAACUACGUGCCAGCAGCCGCGGUAAUACGUAGGGGGCUAGCGUUAUCCGGAAUUACUGGGCGUAAAGGGUGCGUAGGUGGUUUCUUAAGUCAGAGGUGAAAGGCUACGGCUCAACCGUAGUAAGCCUUUGAAACUGGGAAACUUGAGUGCAGGAGAGGAGAGUGGAAUUCCUAGUGUAGCGGUGAAAUGCGUAGAUAUUAGGAGGAACACCAGUUGCGAAGGCGGCUCUCUGGACUGUAACUGACACUGAGGCACGAAAGCGUGGGGAGCAAACAGGACUAGAUACCCUGGUAGUCCACGCCGUAAACGAUGAAUAGGAGCUGUCGGAGGUUACCCCCUUCGGUGGCGCAG